UACGUAGGGGGCAAGCGUUGUCCGGAAUCAUUGGCGUAAAGCGCGUGUAGGCGGUUCGGUAAGUCCGCUGUGAAAGUCCAGGGCUCAACCCUGGGGAUGCCGGUGGAGUAACUGUCGGGCUAGAGUACGGAAGAGGCGAGUGGAAUUCCCGGUGUAGCGGUGAAAUGCGCAGAUAUCGGGAGGAACACCAAUUGCGAAGGCAGCUCGCUGGGACGU
rnacentral:rRNA from 1 species